CCUACGGGAGGCAGCAGUGGGGAAUCUUCCGCAAUGGGCGAAAGCCUGACGGAGCAACGCCGCGUGAUCGAAUGAAGGCCUUCGGGUUGUAAAGAUCUGUUGAUAGGGACAAAUAAGCAAUGCGAAUAGUUUUUUGUAUGACGGUACCUGUUUAGAAAGCUCCGGCUAACUACGUGCCAGCAGCCGCGUUAAUACGUAGGGAGCAAUGUUUGGCCGGCAUUACUGGGCGUAAAGGGGGCGUAUGUGGGCGAUUAAGUCAGGUGUGAAAACUCCGGGGUCAACCUGGAGACUGCACUUGAAACUGGGUGUCUUGAGGGCAGGAGAGGAAGGUGGAAUGCCUAGUGUAGCGGUGAAAUGCGUAGAUAUUAGGAGGAACACCAGUGGCGAAGGCGGCUUUCUGGACUGUACCUGACGCUGAGGCGCGAAAGCGUGGGUAGCGAACGGGAUUAGAUACCCGGGUAGUC
rnacentral:rRNA from 1 species